UUUGUGUGCCACAUCUCAUCGCGGAUGUUGUUUGUCGUUGAGCUCUUUAUCUGACACGCAUGAAAGGAGGAUGAAGGCGCAACUGAAGAGGACGAAGAACAACAAGAAAAAAAAAAAAAAGCAAAACCCGACACAAGGCUGGCCUGCUGUCGAACGCUCACGCCCACUCCACGCCGCUGACUGAUGUGGAACGCCAUCCGGCGCGUCCUCAACGCUUUUCCGCCCUGCCACUUAGCCCAAAUCCCUCGACGGGCGGCGUUACGCCGGCUGUCAGGAGCCAACAACGGCGUUCCUCCUCGCUUGCUCUUUCCUAUCGCGGCUGACGGCACGGAUGAGGCACGACGGCGUUGUGUAACCCCGGGGGAGUAGGGAUUGCCUCCGCUGUCGUUGCAUUUCACACUUGUAGGGAAGUACUGGGGAUUUGGGGGAAAUCCUGCAAAAUGUAGCGAGGAGGGGAAGUCGUGGACAUUUUGGACAAAUGAAGGAACGUUCUGGGGGAAAGUUCGAGGUUGGAGAAAGUUUCGUACGAAAAAUUCCUUGGAAUCGUGUCUGUCAUGUGGCUUACGAUUCCACGUAGCAACAACAACAAAAAUCUUCAAAAAGGAACGAGCGCUUCAACCAGAUCGCCGCCGCCCGCUUCACUCUCAGGCAACUGACGAUCGCUUCUUGCGGUUUCCCAGAGGGAAGCGACUGAGUUUUCACCCCUGACUGCCAGGACGCCGUCUUUUCAGUGCGUUAAUGUUUCCGUCAUGCGAUCUUGCAAACGUCGCGCCGGGAUGUUGACGGGCGACGCGAUCUGACAGACAGCAGCUGAUGACUGAUGGGCACGGUAGGCCGCGGCGGGAGUGACGGCGGAGUGACGGAUAACAAGCGGCUGACUGACAGCUCGCAGGUGUUUUUGCUCGCCUACAAGUUUUUUUUUCGUUUGUUUUUUUUUUUUUUUUCAACUUGAUCCAACCGCUUGUUUUCACGAGCUUUUAGAUCAAGUCUCACGGACAUUUUAAAGGCUAUUUCAAACAAAUUUUGCUAUUAAUAUGCAAUAUGGA